UGGCCCAAUAAGUGGCUAUAAAAAAAAGAAAGAAGAGACGGCACCUCGAACUCUAAAGGUGGUUGUUGGUUCUCUGGAGCCUUGGAAGGUGGGUUGUGCAGGAUGGAGAAGCAGGGCACGUGUAUUUCUACUUAACAUCUCUCCUACACCAAGUUAGAGAGUUGGAUAGUUCUUCAUGUGCCCAUCUUCUCCACCAUGCCCUCCCCACCUAAUUUACUGCUAAGUGCGAGCAGUCGAUAUUGAAGAUUAGGAAGUUUUCAUCAAAAAAAAAAAAAAAGAUCAGAAAGAUUAGAUUUUUCGCCGCCGUUGGUAGUAACCAUGGUUUGAUAAGUGGAAGAUUACUCCUUUCGCUUCACGAAGUUGAAAAGCAACAAACUCAAGAGAAGAUCUGAUGUGUUUCGCAAGCUAAAUCAUAUUUUGAAGAACAACUAGCAUCAUCUAGUUAUUUCAUACCUAUAAACGGGUUGGUGAGUCUGUCUCAAGAUUUGGAUCGAGAAGAAACUUGUGACCUCAUUCAGACAAGCUGUUUUGAUACCAUAAGUAUUCAUUCACUACUUUACAUCUUUUACUCACUUUUACAGAAUUUCGAUGGUGUUGGGAUCUUAUAUCAUAUGCAUAAAUGGGUCUUACAA